rnacentral:sRNA from 1 species
ACACUGAAUCCUUCCGAUACGAAGGAACGGGGGACCCAAACGGGCGGAAAUCACGCCCACGGGGCGAAUCCUGGCAGUCACUGACUUGUCCAGGUAGGGCGACUCUCGCGCCCGAGCCCGGCAGCUAACCUCGUAAGUGUGUUCGAGAGA